UAUAAGAAUGCUAGACAUAGCAACCAUGAUCCGUAAGCACCUAAUCUAAAUCACCUUUUCAAUUGAAAUCAAGGCAUAUAAUAUGAAUGAAAGAAAGAAAAAAAAAACAAUUCUGAACCGUGGCCCCCUUUAAUAAUGUUAAAGUGUGUGGCCUUUUGAAAGCACCGUGCAGCACAAAAAAAAAUAAUAAUAAUAAAAGAAAGCAUGAAGUUGGAUUUCAAAGCAAAAGAACUAGGCUUCAUCCCAUUCAUAGCAAAAGAAAUCUAAUCCUAAAAAUGGGUGGCGGCCACAACUCCCCCUUCACCAUUUACUUUCUAAAUCAACAAAAAGAGAUGUGCUACAACGAAUUUAAAGUCAACGUCUUUCUCUUCUUCAACAAUGAAAGGCUAAAAUUAAAUGUUUCCUCCUCUCGCUAGCAAAUAAACUUUCAAAACCUCAACAUCCAAGAACGUUUAAAAAAAAAAAAAGAGCAAAGUCAAAUGAGUGGCUUGAAUUUCUACAAUCAGCAUUUUAAUGUAGCAAAAUAAUAUGCUUCAACCGUAGCCCUGGGGAAGCAACGUUCACUCUUUGUAAAUAACCUUCAACCAUAGCCCUCCAUCUUAGUUUAUGUACGUGCUUUUCUACAAGGAAUAAUGUGUGGUAGGUGACUCUAGGUGGCGGCUGUUGCUUAGUGUCCUAGGAAUAUCUCCUAGGUUUACGUGUCAAGGCUCUUCUAUCUGCCAGCUGCUGCACUAACUCCUCUUCAAAUUAUCAUUGGGCUUCACUGCCCAUGUUGGACAUGUGCUGCACAAAGUAAUUUGAAUCAAUCUGGGACGUGUUGUUGCUGUGUGGAUGUUGUUGCCCGGUUGACACAGGCCCAAGUGAAUGUCCACGAGGAAAUCAGGUGCACCUCCUAUAAGCUUUCCAAUUUAAU
rnacentral:lncRNA from 1 species